rnacentral:pre_miRNA from 1 species
CAUCUUCCAGCACAGUGUUGGAUGGUCUAAUGGUGAAGCUCCUAACACUGUCUGGUAAAGAUGGC